GCUGAUGGUGGAUAAUAGAAAGCAGUUCUUGCUCUGAACAGAAACGGAAAAAACGUAAUCACGGGCGAAGCCAGUCCGGGUCUCCACUCCAAAUGCCACAAUAAUGCGCUGUAUUAUGUGCUCACGUGGUCAUACGUCAACUUAAAUCCUUUUAUUUGAAAUAGGGAAUCACUGAAGGAACAAGGGUUGGAAGCGCAAGCCUCGUCUGUGUGUGUGUGUGUGUGUGUGUGUGUGUGUGUUUCUCCUCCUUUCUUUUCUGCUUCUUCUCUCACCCCUCCUUACGCUUUAGCCAAGAGGGGGGGCACAGAUUAUCUUUUAUUUUUUAUCCCACUCCUCCCACGAAUAUUUUUCUAUAUACGUUUCAGACGGAAGAUAGGAAGAAUCAACAAUUCCCCCCCCCCUCUCUCAUGUGAUUACCCAUAACUUUUUGAGGCUAACCAACUGGCCUCGUUCUGAAGGAGAAACUCUCCGCUGACCCUUAGAGGGAAAAGGGCAGCGGGCUCCAUCCGAGAUGAACUUCUGCCACUAUUUCCAUAAGGAAAAGCCCUUCAGUAUUAAAGGGGGGGGGUAUCCGCCAUCCCACGGGCUCCUCUGUACUUCUAUUGAAUGGAGCUUGCUGAACACCCACGUUACAGCAGAGCCCUUGUAGGAACCCCAAAGACCCGUAAUUACCUGACAAAAGGCACAAGGUUCCUCUGGUAUAGAGAUGGUGGGCUUCUAUACUUGUUAACACCCUAGGAGGACGACGACGAGGAGGAGGAAGGCGUCUGCUGGCUUUGUGGUGGAUCUACAUUUUGCAAACUCUGUUGGGACCUUCUCUUUCAACCUGCGCUUACGCAUUUCCUAUGCAAGUACUUGAGUGAUGUACAAAAUUAUAGGGUUCUGGAACGAUGAAAUAUUUAGCGCGGAAUAAUGAUCUAACUGUCCGGAGAGGGAGGGUUUAAAAAAAAAAGAAAAAGAGAAAGCAAGCAAGAAAGUUGGGGGGGGGGAGAUCUCACACAGGUCCCUGGAGUGAGCCUCAGAAAUGAAUUAAUCUUUCAUUUGCAUGCAGAUCUAAAAGCUCUCUUUUUCUUUCUGUUCAGUUUCCACAAGCUACAUAGUGCUCUAGCAAAGUGACCAUGUCUUACAAGGCAAACGUCGUUUCUACCUUAAAUGCACUACGGGCCCACUUUGCCGAUGGUGGUUCUGAAUUUCUUGCCCGGUUUCCUAUGUAACAUCCCUCUCAGCUGUUCCUCCAACCAACUCCAAAGCAAGUUUCACUGUAUUCUAUUUCUUUCAUCACUUGCAUUAGGGCUUGGGGCGGGGAGAGAACCCCAUUUACUAUGUGUGAGCAGAUGAAAUGUAUCGUCUGCCAGCCUUCUGAUCAAAUUAUGAGCCGUCCUCUUCCUUUGACUGCAACUUAACUUUUAAGAGGUUGGUGGAUUUAACCGCACUAGUAACCUUCAUCUCCUUCCACAACCGUGUUAAGUGGAAAUGCGGGGAUUUCUGCGCUCACACAAAAAGCUCCCCUUGUCACCCAGAAGCUCUCUGGGCUCAGAGUUUUCAUAAGCUCAGAGUUCUUCUGAAAGCAACUUUCUUUCUUUCUUCCCACUGAACUCAGUGGCAGAAUACCCAAAGAUAUAUUACUUCGAAGCUACCUUUAUACAUUUUCCUUCCCGGAACAUAGCCUUUAAUGGAACCAAAUCACACCGCUUGAUAGGACUAGAACCUGAAGAGCUUAGGCCACAAGCAACCUUAAAAAAGAAAGUGAGGGGAGUAUUCGAGGGAAACUUGUAGAAUAGCCAUGGACACGUCCAUCACUAAUAGUUCCACUGACAAAUGCUAAACUUUAAACAGGGAGCACCCUUAUCCAAGAGAUGGAUUCCUAGGCAUUUAAACUAAAGUGCCUUCAGCCCAGUCAAAAGAGGCCUUCAGAAGUUCUUCAGCAACAAUGCAGCCAAAAUUAAUGGAUAAUGGAGCAGAUGGGGGAGGGAGCCACAGCGAAUCUUCCUGAAUCUCGAGUAAAACGUUAUCGACUGCUUUGAGUCAGAAGCAGAAAGAUGACUUUACCAAAUAGAAACUACAAAGCCAUAAAUCAUAACUCUGGGGUGCAGAUUCAACUUAACGCCAUCUAUGAGUACAUCCUUUCCCCCUUUCCUUUCCUUAUUUUUAAAAAAGGAAAGGGCCCUUUGCUGUGUAGGUCUGUAUUAGUUUUAACGAUCAAGUUAAUGUGAAAUCUGCCGUUGAACUAUUAACUCCGGUGCGUAUUGCAUGGAUAGUGAAUAUGUGGGGGUUUUUUUCUCCUAAAGAAAAGUAACUUCUUGGUGAUUUAUGAGGAGCUAAUUCUUCAGGCUGUGCUUUAUAGGAGACAAGCUUGCUUCACUGGAGUCCUGGUAACUCUGCUUAUUAUUUCUCCUUUUUCAAAACAAAAACCCACCAAAAAGCUGACCUGGAAUUCAUUUGCUUGGGUCGAACUUCAGAGAUCUUGAAUUUUGAGAAAUACAAAUGCGAAUGGACAGGAAGGCAGCAGCCUCGCCACCCAUUUCGCCUUCCUCGCGGAGGUUCUCCGUUGCCUUCAUCUGUUACUUCGAGGACUGGGAAAUCUGAACGCUUUUGGGAGAGCUAAAAACGCUACAUUUCAUUUUAGGGAACAGGGCUAGGCUGCCCCGCCUCUUUCUGCACACAUAGCAGUGGAAUGCAUGCGGAAGAAAGAAGGCGCGGAGCAGAGCUGAGGUCGAGAUCCAAGACACAAUUACUUGGAGGGAGAGAGAGCGCGCGCUGAAAUCAAUGGACAUCGUUUUUCAAAUGAUUGGUUAGCAUCCAAGUGCAACUAAGCUGUAAAGUCUCCACGAAUUUGAAAGCUGCAAGGCUUAAGCAUAUUUACUCAGAGGGCUCUUACCUCCUCGCGUUUCCAACCACCGGGCAGAAUUGUUUCCAGAUUGUAGGUGUCUUUAAACCGUAUUUUCCGGUGCACCGGAGUGCUGUAAAUAAAGAACAAGCAAUAGCUAAAUGAGAGAACUAUAGGGGAUGAGCAUUAUUUUCGAGACAAGACGUGGGUCAGCUGCUGAGUUGUUUUAGCAGAUCCUCGGUGGGUAUAUAAUCAUUAAAAGGACGCUGUUGA